rnacentral:rRNA from 1 species
GACGAACGCUGGCGGCGUGCUUAACACAUGCAAGUCGAACGGAAAGGCCCUGCUUUUGUGGGGUGCUCGAGUGCGAACGGGUGAGUAACACGUGAGUAACCUGCCCUUGACUUUGGGAUAACUUCAGGAAACUGGGGCUAAUACCGGAUAGGAGCUCCUGCUGCAUGGUGGGGGUUGGAAAGUUUCGGCGGUUGGGGAUGGACUCGCGGCUUAUCAGCUUGUUGGUGGGGUAGUGGCUUACCAAGGCUUUGACGGGUAGCCGGCCUGAGAGGGUGACCGGCCACAUGGGGACUGAGAUACGGCCCAGACUCAUACGGGAGGCAUCAGUGGGGAAUAUUGCACAAUGGGCGGAAGCCUGAUGCAGCAACGCCGCGUGCGGGAUGACGGCCUUCGGGUUGUAAACCGCUUUCGCCUGUGACGAAGCGUGAGUGACGGUAAUGGGUAAAGAAGCACCGGCUAACUACGUG